AUGGCCCUCCUGCACUCCAGUAUGGCUUCUGCCUUUCACUCAGGCCUUGCUGCUGCAGUCUUUGCCAGACCCAGCCCCUGGUGGACCCAUGCCGAAAUGGGACCUCCAGAUCCCAUCCUGGAAGUUACCGAAGCCUUUAAGAGAGAUACCAACAGCAAGAAGAUGAACCUGGGAGUUGGUGCCUACCAGGAUGAUGAUGGAAAGCCUUACGUGCCACCCCCAUCCAGUGUCCAGAAGGCAGAGGCCCAGAUUGCUGCAAAAAAUUUGGACAAAGAAUACCUGUCCAUUGGGGGACUGACUGAAUUUUGUAAGGUUUCUGCAGAACUGGCCCUGGGUGAGAACAACAAAGUGUUGAAAAGCAGCUGGUUUGUCACUGUACAGACCAUUUCCGGGACUGGAGCCCUAAGUGUUGGAGCCAGUUUUCUGCAAAGUUUUUUGUAAGUUCAGCCGAGAUGUCUUUCUGCCCAAACCAUCCUGAGGAAAUCACACACCCAUCUUCAGGGAUGCUGGCAUGCAGCUUCAAGGUUGUCGCUACUACGACCCCAGGACUUGUGGCUUUGAUUUCUCCAGAGUCCUAGCAGACAUAUCAAAAAUCCCAGAGCAGAGUGUUCUCCUCCUUCAUGCCUGCUCUCACAACCCCACGGGCGUGGACUCACCUCCAGAGCUGUGGAAGGAAACGGCGUCCGUGGUGAAGAAAAAUAAUUUCUUUUUAUUCUUCAACAUGGCCUAUCAAGGCUUUGCCUGUGGAGAUGGUGAUAAGGAUGCCUGGACCGUGCAGCACUUCAUCGAGCAGGGCAUCAAUGUCUGCCUCUGUCAAUAGUAUGCCAAGAACAUGGGCCUGCAUGGUGAGCGGGUGGGAGCCUUCACAGUGGUCUGCAAAGAUGAGGAAGAAGCCAAAAGGGUGGAGUCAUAGCUGCAGAUCUUGAUCUGCCCCUUGUAUUCCAACCCAUCUCUUAAUGGGGCCCGGAUUGCCACCUCCAUCCUGACUUCUCCAGACUUGCGGAAGCAUUGGUUGCAAGAAGUGAAAGGCAUGGCUGACUGCAUCAGCAGCAUGAAGACCCAGCUGGUCUCCACCCUGAAGAAAGAGGGCUCUCCCCACAACUGGCAACACAUCACUGACCAGAUCAGCAUGUUCUGUUUCACCAGCUUAAAGCCCAAGCAGGUGGAGCUGUUGACCAAGGAGUUCUCGGUCUACAUGACAAAGGAUGGGCUUAUCUCUGUGGCAGGGGUCACCUCUGGCAAUGUUGGCCACCUUGCCCAUGCCAUUCAGCAGGUCACCAAAUAAUUCCCAGGUGCGAAGGAACAGAGACCACUUUCCCUUC